UACGGAGGGAGCUAGCGUUGUUCGGAAAUACUGGGCGUAAAGCGCACGUAGGCGGCGCAGCAAGUCAGGGGUGAAAUCCCGGGGCUCAACCCCGGAACUGCCUCUGAAACUGCAGUGCUAGAAUCUUGGAGAGGCGAGUGGAAUUCCGAGUGUAGAGGUGAAAUUCGUAGAUAUUCGGAAGAACACCAGUGGCGAAGGCGGCUCCCUGGACAAUUGCUGACACUCAGGCACGAAAGCGUGGGGAGCAAAGGG
rnacentral:rRNA from 1 species